rnacentral:tRNA from 1 species
AGUGACCGAUUUUUAGGUGUUAGUCUCUUAAAUUAAUUAAGAGAAAUAUAGUUAAA